GCCAUCGCCUCCGCCUCCGCCUCCGCUCAUCGAAGGCCGCAGCCGUUCCUCUCUCCGCUUCCGCCUCCGCUCAUCGAAGGCCGCAGCCGCUCCUCUCUCUGCUUACGCCCCGUUUCUCUGUAGAUUUUUGUGGAUUAGUGUCAUGUGAUUUGUUGUGAAACAUCUGAAUUGCCGAUGAUGCUGUACCCAACAUUUGGAGGUGCAGAUGGCUCUAGGAUCCUGUUUACAGGAUGAACCUACCUCGAGGCGCUGUAUCCACAUGACAUUAAUGGGCAAGUCUGAGUUUCAGAUGAAUCUUUUGUUGCUGUUCUCAAUUUGAGUUCUGCUAUUUUUGAACUGAAAACAAGUUGAGUUUAACUAUCCUCACAAAUAUCUCUGAUUUGCGGAAGAGGCUGAAAUCAGCUUUGUCUCUUGAUUCUAUGAGAUGGGAGUUAAAUAAUGGCACGAGAUUCACUCAUACAUUCCCUGCCUGAAUCAUCUUUGCAGCAGAACCGGCUGCAAGAUAUCUGAAGAAACAAACUCGGACGCUCUAUGAUCAUUUGUGGUAAGCAAAGUCGGAUCUCAACAAUGAUAAAUGAUCCACCUACGGUUAGCAUAUCUCCUAAUGUGCUAAUAAAUGAUCUCAACAAUAAUAAAUGAUCCACCUACGGUUAGCAUAUCUCCUAAUGUGCUGAAUACAAGAACCUCUAUUGGGGUGACUUCAGGCAUCGAUUUUGUGUGCUUUGUCAUCUGGUCUCAACUUGCGAUCUGUUUGUGCUUCAUCAUCUGGUCAUUGGGAUGAUCAGUCUCUUGAGUCUGAUCGGUUCCCACUGGACUCGUUCCCUUGAAGCAAAAGCAUCCUGUUGUAUUCGCCCCUCUUGUGUGCCCUCUGAGUUUUUUUCCCAGGGCAACAGCGGCUCUUACAUACAUGCACAUAUGCCUGUUGACACUUUCUUGGUAUUUUGAUUUUGACAACCGUGAGGAGCCAAUUUUACAGUUACAGACCUGUAAUGACUCCUGUGGAAAUGAUCGCAUGGUCAAAGAACAUCUAAGGGACUGAGUUGUCUUUGUAUUUUGGAUCUUUGCUGUCAGCAGUUUAGAUGUCGCUGCCUUAUUUUUCAUCUGCUUCUCUUCACCGUAUUUGUGCAUGUAAACUAAUCCGAAUGGUUCUUGGACAAUGAGAAAUGUUAAGCAGAAAGCAGAAGUUCCUCUCGCUAUCCAGUGUGGAAUUUCUUGUGAUGUGAUUGAACGUUGAGGAGUUUGAUUGAACUUUUGUCUUCCAAUUUGAACAACCUCAACACAUAUGAAUUGGAACGACAAACAAAGCUUUUGACAAAAGCAGCCUAUCCAGAGAAUGGACUACGUGGUGGUGGUGGAGGAAGGUCCAGAGGAAAGAGGUAUGGUGAUAAUGGUGGGUGGGGUGGUUUACUUACCAAUCCUUUGCACCAUUUGCCGUUGCUCUGGAGUCAAAUGGUCUAACCAAAAUUUCCUGUUUCAGAUGUUUUCUCAAAAAAAUUGAGCUGUACUGCUGGCCUCUUCUCUUAUUUUUUUCCCUUGUUAAAUUUUUUAUCUUCCUGUGCAAAUCAAGGGUGGCAAAUGAUGUGAAAUAUGAUAUGCUAAACACUGAAUCUUUGAUAUAUUUACAAAACUCCGCUUAUUAUCUGAUGCCACUCAUCAGUUUCAACUUUCAACCCAGUUUUUGAAGAGGUUAGCUGUGCAAUUUUGGUUGCUGUUAGUAUCGGUGUUUUCUUAAUGCCAUCAUACCUGUGUUUCUGAUUAAUUCAUGAAGCACAAGGGGAAAAAUGGUUGAAUUUCUUAGUAUGAGCCAUACGAAUGUUAAUUAUUAUUUUUGACUGACAAACCUGUUAUAUUGCACUUGAUAAAAGCUGUGUACCAAAAUAACUGGAACAUUCUAAUGGUGCAGUUGUUUUGGAAAGUUACUUUAACCUAAUCAGAGAGAUGGUUUACAAAAACAAUUUUGAUGUGUACUAUCCCAAUGCUGAUAUCUGGAAAUUCAUGAUUAAUAUAGCUGUUAAACCUUUGUAUAUUGCAUGUCUUCUUUUUGAUCUUGAAUUAGGAGCUUGUAAUUUUUUCUGAAAUGCCAGUGAUGCUAUGCCCAACAUCUUGAGGCGCAGAUGGCUCCAGGAUCCUGUUUACAGGAUGAACCUACCUGAAGUCCCUGUAUCCACAUGACAUCCAUGCGCAAGUCUGAGGUUGCUGAUGAUCCCAUGAUUUAUUCUUUUUAAGAGAAAAACUAAUCCUCUGUAUCAAAUGAUGAGAGAAUACUGCAACAAUAUGAUCCAUGAUCUGAUUCUUAGUAUUCAAGUCUCUGAUGAUCACUUUGCCAAUUUUUCUUGUUUUUUUCUCUUGUUUUUUUUCCAAAAGUUGAUCCUAAUGGGGUGUGAUGAAGAGAAGUUGGUCCGUGUUUCUGAUGUCCUGUGACUGAUAACCAUCUUUAAUUUCCCUCUGAUCCCUCGUGCAAGUGCAUCUUUGUUCAUCCAUUUUUCUUGUAAUUGUCUUUUUAGAUGUUUUCUCGUAUUUGCCUAGUUUUGUUGCAUUGCAUUGAUGAAUUAUGAAUUUUCGCAUGUCAGACUUCAGAGAUGCCUCUGGCUUCAAUGAGAAGUCAUUUCAUAUUACUGAGCAAUGAAAUACCAUCUGUAAUGUUUCAGGGCUGCCUCACCCUUGUCUCUGAUGAACACUUUGCCAAAUUUCUUUUUUUUCUCUCUCGUGUUCUCUUUCCAAAAGUGGAUCUUUUGUGGGAUGUGCUGAAAAGUUGGUCUGUGUUUCUGAUAAUACUAAGUCUUUGUAUCAAAUGAUGAGAGAAUACUGCAACAAUAUGAUCCAUGAUCUGAUUCUUAGUAUUUAAGUCUCUGAUGAUCACUUUGCCAAAUUUUCUUGUUUUUUUCUCUCUUGUUUUUUUUCUCCAAAAGUUGAUCCUCAUGGGGUGUGAUGAAGAAAAGUUGGUCCGUGUUUCUGAUGUCCUGUGACUGAUAACCAUCUUUAGUUUCCUUCUGAUCCCUCGUGCAAGUGCAUCUUUGUUCAUCCAUUUUUCUUGUAAUUGUCUUUUUAGAUGUUUUCUCGUAUUUGCUAGUUUUGUGGCAUUGCAUUGAUGAAUUGUGAAUUUUCGCAUGUCAGACUUCAGAGAUACCUCUGGCAUCAAUGAGAAGUCAUUUCAUAUUACUGAGCAAUGAAAUACCAUCUGUAAUGUUUCAGGACUGCCUCACCCUUGUCUCCGAUGAUCACUUUGCCAAAUUUCUUUUUUUUUUCUCUCGUGCUUUCUUUCCAAAAGUGGAUCUUUUGUGGGAUGUGCUGAAAAGUUGGUCUGUGUUUCUGAUAAUACUAAGUCUUUGUGUAUCAAAUGAUGAGAGAAUACUGCAACAAUAUGAUCCAUGAUCUGAUUCUUAGUAUUUAAGUCUCUGAUGAUCACUUUGCCAAAUUUUCUUAUUUUCUCUCUUGUUUUUUGUUAUGAAAAGUUGAUCUUCAUGGGGUGUGAUGAAGAGAAGUUGUUCUGUGUUUCUGAUGUCCAGUGACUGAUAACCAUCUUUAAUUUCCUUCUGAUUCCUCGUGCAAGUGCAUCCUUGUUCAUCCAUUUUUCUUGUAAUUGUCUUUAGAUGUUUUUUGGUAUUUGCCUAGUUGUGGCAUUGUGUUGAUGAAUUAUGAAUUUUCGCAUGUCAGACUUCAGAGAUGCCAUUUGUAAUAUUUCGGGGACUGCCUCACCCUUGCAACCGUGAUUCUUAGUUCUCCCUCUGAUCCUAAAUAUAAGUCUUUCAAGGGAUUUCAAAAUGGACUACAUACGGAUGUAUAGAGACAUAUUUUAGAGUGUAGAUUCAGUCAUUUGCUCCGUAUGUGGUCAUAUUGGAAUCUCUAGAAAGACUUGUAUUUAGGAACGGAGGGAGUAUUUAAGUCUCUGAUGAUCACUUCGCCAAAUUUCUUUUUUUCUCUCUCUUGUGUUUUGUUUCCAAAAGUAAUCUUUGUGAGAUAUGAUGAAGAAAAGUUGGUCGUGUUUCUGAUGUCCAGUGACUGAUAACCAUCUUUAAUUUCCUUCUGAUCCCUCUGCAAGUGCAUCUUUGUUCAUCCAUUUUUCUUGUAAUUGUCUUUUUAGAUGUUCUCUUGUAUUUAGUUUUGUGGCAUUGCUGUGAUUAAUCUGGCUUCAAUGAGAAGUCAUAUCAUAUGACUCAGCAAUGAAAUACCAUCUGUAAUGUUUUGUUACUGCGUCCUUGCUACUGUGGAUGCUUUUGCAAUUUCUACUGAUGGAAGGAAGUUCAUAUGCCCUGCAAUAAAGUAGAGUUAGCAUGAUUGAUGAAAA